rnacentral:lncRNA from 10 species
CUGCAUGUUUACAGUGGGGACUGUCCUGUGCACUGUAGGAUGUUUAGAACAUCCCUAUCCUCUAUCCACUGAGUGCCAGGAGCACCCCUUCCUUCAACUGUGAUGACCCAAAAUGUCUGUAGACAUUGCCAGAUGUCCCCUUGAUGGGGUUUCCCAUUAGGCUGAGCUCCUCAUCCGCAGGGGUUGAGACUGGUUCGUCUUUGCGUGUUCAGUGCCUGGCACAUAGUGGGCAGUCCAUCUUAUUGAAAGAGUCAAUGUCUUCCAUGUAUUUUGCCACCUGAAAUCCAUAGCACAGAGCUAGAGUUAUAGCAGGUGCCAAUAAACACAUGUUGAUGAAUUGUUAACUGAUGAAAUGAGAGAAAGGAGAAACACCCUUGCUUGUAAUCUGGUGACAAAUUGGAACCCCUCCCACUCACAGGGGGGAGUGUGGAAAAUGAGCUUGCUCCUACUCUCAUGAGAGAAAUCAACAGUUUUGAUAAUUGCUACAAAAGUAGUAACAAUCCUCCCAAAAUGACUUUAGACAAACAAGAGCAACAAAACCAAGAUUUAACAUUAUCAUUAUGAUUAACGAAAUUUAUGCAACCCAUAAGGCUAACUCUCAGGUGGAAAGAAAAUUCUAUUGAAAACUAACAACUCUGGUCUCAGUUCUUUUUAAAAUCGGAGUUAAAGAGCAUAAUUGGAUUGUUUGCAACUCACUUGAUAAAUGCUCGAGGAGGUAAAUACCUGGUUCUUCAUGAUGUGAACAAAAGAAAAGUAAAAUUGGAAUUAAAGGAAUACUUUAGGCAACUCACUUCACCAAUACUGGCCUCAGAUUGCUAAUCUUGUACAAACUGGGGGUGGUGAUUGGAAAAGGUGAUCACUAUGAAUUUUAAGACAGGCUAUAUAUUUACAAAGAAAAUAAAUUUGCCACUAAAUCCUUUUUGAAACAAGGUGGGUAUAAACAAACGGUUAGACACAAAGUUUUAUUUCAGGUAGACAUCAUAAAUUUGGAUGAUGGUCAUCCUUGACCCAGAUUUCUGGAUUUUGUUAAAAAUGUGGAAAAUACUUCUGCAAUUACAGUGGUUGGAUUUUGGUUUCCUGAGAAUGUAACAAGUUUUAGGCUCUCCAAUUACCUUAGCCAUUCUGAUGGCUCUCCAAUGGAUGCAUCACAGCCAUUUCAAACUCAGCACAUCCAAAGUGUCAUAACACAACUGGACUCUUUUUUCCCCACACAGUUCGGUUCCUUUUCCAAUGCCUUUAUUUCCAUGAAUGGUGUCAUUAUUUUUCUAACUGAGUAGUUUUAGAACCUUGAAACAAUAUUCUGUAUUUUUUCUCUCUCUUCUCGUAUAUUGGAUGAUGGCGAUUCCUUGCUGUGUCUGUAAGACUUCACAUCAGUCCUCAAUAUACUGAUAAGUUUCUCCUAAACAGGACUGAUAAUGCUGAUAUCAAGUUGGAACGAUUUGACCAGGAGCCCCAAGACAAGACCGCAUCAAAACUAGAAUAACUGUAAUACUUUAAAUCAGCCUUUGCCUCAAAAGUAACUUCCGGGGCCUAUUCUUGUCCAUCUGUCUUACCAUCCAUCCAUCCAUCCAUCCAUGCAUCCAUCCAUCCGUCCAUGCAUCCACCUCCCUACCUUCAUACCUACAGACUGACCCAUCUAUGUCUCAACAUUGUGGACGUUUGGACUGGAUACAUCUGUGUUGGGAGGGCUGUGCUGUGCAUGGUAAGAUGCUUCACAGUAUCUGUGACCUCUGCAUACCAUGAGCCAGCGGCACCCCCUCCUCAGUUGUGGCAACACGAAAUGCCUCCAGACAUUGCCGCAUAUCCCAUGGGGGCUGAAUCUGUCCCCUGCUUGAGAACCACUGCUCUAUCCUAUCUCCAGUGCCACUCUACAAAUUCCGUAAAACUGUUGAAAAUAUGUAUCAUUUUAUUCUAAAAUAUGCUAGUAAUGUCUUUUCAAAUUCAGUCUUCUGGAGUCAGUGUUAUAAUAUUCAGCAUGAAUUUACCAUCUCUAUUUAUUUACUUACUUUAAAAGGCCAAGUGGAGAAAUUUUUGGACGACCCUUAUCUGUAGCUUCUGGUUAGAGAAUUUAACAUAAUAAGGUUUUAAAUGGCAUCAAAUAAAGAGUUUUGCCCAAUGGGAAUUGGAAGGCAUUUUAUGUAUAAAUGUCUUGGGUAAAUCACCCAGGUCUGCCACUGUGCUUGUUCUGAGAAGCACAUUUCAAAGGUUCUCUAAGAUUUAAAUUUUUCAGUUCUAAAUGAGAAGAAUAAUUGUGUCUAUCUCAUAGGAUUGUGGUAAGCACUAAAUGAAUACUUCUAAAGCCCUAAAGCCCUGGACAGAGGCCUGGCAUAUUGUGACGACAUGAUGAUGUCCACUCUCAGCUGGAAAUAGAAAUGGCAGGCUUGCUGUGGUUGAAGUGGGGUGGGGGGUCUGGACCCACCCACGAAGACCUCCCCUUCACAUGAGGCCCAGCUGCACUUUGGCAUGGACCCAGCUACCAGCUAUGCUUGUCAUCCUGUGGCUGCCCUCAGCUACUCCUGUGCAGAAGUCAGUGAGUGUGCACCUAUAUCAU